rnacentral:rRNA from 1 species
UACGUAGGUGGCAAGCGUUGUCCGGAUUUACUGGGCGUAAAGAGCGCGCAGGCGGCUGGUCAAGUCCGAUGUGAAAUCUCCCGGCUUAACUGGGAAACUGCAUCGGAAACUGAUCGGCUUGAAGGUGGGAGAGGGUAGUGGAAUUCCCGGUGUAGAGGUGAAAUUCGUAGAUAUCGGGAGGAACACCAGUGGCGAAGGCGGCGACCUGGGCAGAUACUGACGCUGAGGUGCGAAAGCGUGGGGAGCAAACAGG